AAGCAAACAACCUCCUUCUCCUCCUCUGACCCAAAAACGAAGGAAAGAAAUCAAGCAAAAAUUAGAAACUGAUGUACUCAUAAGAGCAGCAAAUGUGUGUGUGUGUAUAUAUAUAUAUAUAUAUCCUGAGUAUUAAUAUCUCUGAGUCUGUGUGAAAGUCAUGGUUCAUGGUAAGAAGUUGGCCAAGGAGACGCUGCUGCCGUCUGUGCUGGAAGAAGAUGAUGACGCAGAGAUCGAAAGUGGGAAGCUGCACCUGGGGGAGCUAAGAGCGAGCCGGACAGAGGUCGACGUGCGUGGGCCAAAGGACCAGCGCUUCGGCUCUGAUGGGAAUGUGCUAGACAGAGGUGAAAGAGAGAGAGAAAAGAAAGAGGAGGAGGAGGAGGAUGAACAGGAGGAGCUGGGAGGAAAAGAGCGUGUAAUCUCUGAUGAGGACUACGACACAGAUUUGGAGCUGGAAGGUACUGAGGAGGCGUAUGACCCGACAGGGAAGACCAGCUACAUGGAGGCGUGCAAAAUGUUUCAGGUGGUCCCUGCAUUCUCCUUCCUGCGGCAAAUGAAGGCUAGCGAGCUGUCCAUGAUGCAUUAUG
rnacentral:lncRNA from 1 species